AGUUGAUUAGCUUAAUAUAGCAUUUAUUUUGAAAAUAAAAGAAAGGAAUAAACUUCCUAUUAACUU
rnacentral:tRNA from 1 species